AACGAACGCUGGCGGCGUGCCUAACACAUGCAAGUCGAGCGCGAAAGUUCCUUCGGGAAUGAGUAAAGCGGCGGACGGGUGAGUAAUACGUGGGUAAUCUGCCCCCGAGCUCGGGAUAACACUGCGAAAGCGGUGCUAAUACCGGAUAAGACCACAUGACCCAGGUCGUGCGGUAAAAGGUGGCUGUAUUUUCGGAUGAGGCUAUCACUUGAGGAUGAGCCCAUGGCCUAUCAGCUUGUUGGUGAGGUAAAAGCUCACCAAGGCUAUGACGGGUAGCUGGUCUAAGAGGACGACCAGCCACACUGGGACUGAGACACGGCCCAGACUCCUACGGGAGGCAGCAGUGGGGAAUAUUGGGCAAUGGGCGAAAGCCUGACCCAGCGACGCCGUGUGGGCGAUGAAGGCCUUCGGGUUGUAAGCCCUGUGAGGUGGAAAGAAGGGUCCAGAGGUUAAUACCCUUUGGGCUUUGACGGUACCACCAGAGGAAGCACCGGCUAACUCCGUGCCAGCCGCCGCUGUAAUAC
rnacentral:rRNA from 1 species